rnacentral:rRNA from 1 species
CCUACGGGUGGCAGCAGUAGGGAAUCUUCCACAAUGGGCGAAAGCCUGAUGGAGCAACGCCGCGUGGGUGAAGAAGGUCUUCGGAUCGUAAAACCCUGUUGUUAGAGAAGAAAGUGCGGGAGAGUAACUGUUCACGUGUCGACGGUAUCGAACCAGAAAGCCACGGCUAACUACGUGCCAGCAGCCGCGGUAAUACGUCGGUGGCAAGCGUUAUCCGGAUUGAUUGGGCGUAAAGGGAACGCAGGCGGUCUUUUAAGUCUGAGGUGAAAGCCUUCGGCUUAACCGGAGUAGUGCAUUGGAAACUUGGAGACUUGAGUGCAGACGAGGAGAGUGCAACUCCCUGUGUAGCGGU